UUGAUCAAUGUUCUUCUUACAAUUCCAAUAUGGGUUCUUGUGACACGUAUGCAGGUUGAUCUUGAUGAAAACAUUUGGAAGGAUAUGAACAACGAAUGAUCCCACCAACUGCUUUUAGAACUGGCAUUUGAGAGCAGCAUAAAUUUUUUUUUGCCACCGAAUAGAAUAUUCCAUGAGAUCGAACUGAUGAUCCGUUGUUUUGUUUUUUUAUUACCAUGUAACGUUUCAUAAACAUUCUUGUAUAUUUAUUGCAAAGAUAUGAUUUUUAUUUGA